AGUGAACGCUGGCGGUAGGCCUAACACAUGCAAGUCGAACGGCGGCACAGUAAGAGCUUGCUCUUACGGGUGGCGAGUGGCGGACGGGUGAGGAAUACAUCGGAAUCUACUUUUUCGUGGGGGAUAACGUAGGGAAACUUACGCUAAUACCGCAUACGACCUACGGGUGAAAGCAGGGGAUCUUCGGACCUUGCGCGAUUGAAUGAGCCGAUGUCGGAUUAGCUAGUUGGCGGGGUAAAGGCCCACCAAGGCGACGAUCCGUAGCUGGUCUGAGAGGAUGAUCAGCCACACUGGAACUGAGACACGGUCCAGACUCCUACGGGAGGCAGCAGUGGGGAAUAUUGGACAAUGGGCGCAAGCAUGAUCCAGCCAUCCCGCGUGGGUGACGAAGGCCUUCGGGUUGUAAAGCCCUUUUGUUGGGAAAGAAAAGCAGCAGGUUAAUACCACGCUGUUCUGACGGUAACCAAAGAAUAAGCACCGGCUAACUUCGUG
rnacentral:rRNA from 1 species